GCUGUGUUGGAGUGGAGGUGCUACAGGAGAAGCUGUGUUGGAGUGGAGGUGGUACAGGAGAAGCUGUGUUGGAGUGGAGGUGCUACAGGAGAAGCUGUGUUGGAGUGGAGGUGCUACAGGAGAAGCUGUGUUGGAGUGGAGGUGGUACAGGAGAAGCUGUGUUGGAAUGUAGGUGGUACAGGAGAAGCUGUGUUGGAGUGGAGGUGGUACAGGAGAAGCUGUAAUGGAGUGGAGGUGGUACAGGAGAAGCUGUAAUGGAGUGGAGGUGGUACAGGAGAAGCUGUAAUGGAGUGGAGGUGGUACAGGAGAAGCUGUAAUGGAGUGGAGGUGGUACAGGAGAAGCUAUUUUGGAGUGGAGGUGGUACAGGAGAAGCUGUCUGGUCAUCAAGCCUCAGAUUGUGACAAACACAGGGCGAGAGAGGAGGAUGACUGGAGGAGGACGAGGCAGCGGGGCAUCCUCUCCUCCUUUUCCCUCCCUCGCUCUCAUCUGUCACCGGGAGGAAGUUGCUGAGCAGACAAACCUUCGCCUGAGGAG